AAGGCCAUGCAUGUCUAAGUACAGGCUUUGUGUACAGCGAAACCGCGAAUGGCUCAUUAAAUCAGCUAUAAUUUAUUAGAUUGUUCUCUACAUGGAUAACUGUGGGAAUUCUAGAGCUAAUACAUGCACAAAAGCUCCGACCUUCGGGAAGGAGUGCAGUUAUUAGACCAAAACCAGCCGAGCUACGGCUCGAACUGUUUGGUGACUCUGGAUAACUACGAGCGGAUCGCAUGGCCUUGUGUCGGCGACAUAUCUUUCAAGUGUCUGACCUAUCAACUGACGAUGGUACGCGAUAUGCCUACCAUGGUGAUAACGGGUAACGGAGAAUAAGGGUUCGACUCCGGAGAGGGAGCCUGAGAAAUGGCUACCACAUCCAAGGAUGGCAGCAGGCGCGCAAAUUACCCACUCUCAGUACGAGGAGGUAGUGACGAAAAAUAACAAUGCGUGACUCUUUUUGAGGCCUCGCAAUUGGAAUGAGCGCACUUUAAAUCGUUCGACAAGGAUCUAUUGGAGGGCAAGUCUGGUGCCAGCAGCCGCGGUAAUUCCAGCUCCAAUAGCGUAUAUUAAAGUUGUUGCAGUUAAAAAGCUCGUAGUUGGAUCUGGGGCUCGGGUCGGCGGUUUGCCGCUAUGCGGCUACGGCGCUGCUCGACUCUUAUAAUCCGGGGCGCCUGCGGUGUGUGCUCUCCUCAGAGUGCGCGCAGAGCCUGGGGUGUUUACUUUGAAAAAAUUAGAGUGCUCAAAACGCGCGCGCGCGUCUGAAAAGUGUUGCGCGGAAAAGGGAAAUAGGACCUCUCUUCUAUUUUGUGGUUUUUCAGAACUUGAGAUAAAGAUAAAAAGAG
rnacentral:rRNA from 1 species